rnacentral:rRNA from 1 species
GUAAUACAUAAGCAACCUGCCUUAAAAUGGGGGACAACCGAGGGAAACUUUGGCUAAUACCGCAUAAAGGACUGAAGGCAUCUUCAGUAGAUGAAAGUAGGGUUUCCUACGAUUUAAGAUGGGCUUAUGGCGCAUUAGCUAGUUGGUGAGAUAACAGCCCACCAAGGUUAUGAUGCGUAGCCGACCUGAGAGGGUGAUCGGCCACAUUGGGACUGAGACACGGCCCAGACUCCUACGGGAGGCAGCAGUAGGGAAUUUUCGGCAAUGGGGGAAACCCUGACCGAGCAACGCCGCGUGAAGGAUGAAGGUUUUCGGAUUGUAAACUUCUGUUGUAAGGAAAGAACGGGCAGUAUAGGAAAUGAUACUGCCGUGACGGUACCUUACUAGAAAGCCACGGCUAACUAUGUGCCAGCAGCCGCGGUAAUACGUAGGUGGCAAGCGUUAUCCGGAAUUAUUGGGCGUAAAGGGUGAGUAGGCGGCAGACAAAGUUUGGAGUAAAAGGCAGUUGCUUAACGACUGUAUGCUUUGAAAACUAGUCAGCUAGAGUAUAGGAGAGGUUAAUGGAAUUCCACGUGUAGCGGUGAAAUGCGUAGAUAUGUGGAGGAACACCAGUGGCGAAGGCGAUUAACUGGCCUAAUACUGACGCUUAUACA